AGGACGAACGCUGGCGGCGUGCUUAACACAUGCAAGUGGAGCGACGAACCAGGCUUCGGCCUGGGGCAGAGCCGCGAACGGGUGAGUAACACGUGGGUAACCUGCCCUGACGAUCGGGACAACCCGGGGAAACCCGGGCUAAUACCGAAUAAGCCCUCCGUCCUCAAGGACGACGGGGAAAGGAAGCUUCGGCCUCCGCAUCAGGAUCGGGCCCGCGGCCCAUUAGCUUGUUGGUGAGGUAACGGCCCACAAGGCAACGAUGGGUAGCUGGUCUGAGAGGACGAUCAGCCACACUGGGACUGAGACACGGCCCAGACUCCUACGGGAGGCAGCAGUGGGGAAUCGUUGCGCAAUGCGCGAAAGCGUGACGCAGCAACGCCGCGUGGGAAGCGGCCUUCGGGUUCGUAACCCUUCAGGAGGACGAGGUCGGUGGUGAAGUAGCGAUCCGACUGACGUACCUCCACAACGAACGCCCCGGACUAACCUACGU
rnacentral:rRNA from 1 species